rnacentral:rRNA from 1 species
AUUAGUGGCGAACGGGUGAGUAACACGUGGGCAAUCUGCCCUGCACUCUGGGACAAGCCCUGGAAACGGGGUCUAAUACCGGAUACGACCUGCCGAGGCAUCUCGGCGGGUGGAAAGCUCCGGCGGUGCAGGAUGAGCCCGCGGCCUAUCAGCUUGUUGGUGGGGUAAUGGCCUACCAAGGCGACGACGGGUAGCCGGCCUGAGAGGGCGACCGGCCACACUGGGACUGAGACACGGCCCAGACUCCUACGGGAGGCAGCAGUGGGGAAUAUUGCACAAUGGGCGAAAGCCUGAUGCAGCGACGCCGCGUGAGGGAUGACGGCCUUCGGGUUGUAAACCUCUUUCAGCAGGGAAGAAGCGAAAGUGACGGUACCUGCAGAAGAAGCGCCGGCUAACUACGUGCCAGCAGCCGCGGUAAUA